GUGCUUGCUUUGGCAGCACAUAUACUGAAAUUGGAAUGAUACAGGGAAGAUUAACACGGCCCCUGCAUAAGAAUGACACACAAAUUCACGAAGCAUUCCAUAUUUUU
ensembl:snRNA U6 U6 spliceosomal RNA